GUGGCGAGGUUGGCAACGCAUAGGCCCGGCGUAGGCGCAGGCAGGGGCAGUGCUUUGUUUCGAAGAACCGACUUGCUCGUAGGCUUCUCGGCUUCUCCAGCCACCGGCAGUUCAGAGAAACCACCUCCAGUGGCAAGGCAAGGCAGACAAGGUAAGUGUGCCGGUGCCUGUAGCCUGGCGCGGUCCAAGCUCUCCAAGUCCACGACGUGGUUGGUGUGCCUGGCGACCCCGCGUUGCGGCAGUACUUACCAGUGUACUACAGACUCUCGGUUCCACAGUGGCCACGGCGGCCAGGUCAAGGGCCACCAAGGGCACGCAAGGGCAGCUGCGCGGGUCCCCGGCGUCCCCAGCGGCGGAGCAGAACCGCCAGAACCGCCAGGGCAGUGGAGCCGGCAAUCAGCCAGGCGACAGACGCGGACCAAGACGCGGCACGUGGAGACACAGGCCAGGAGUGACGGAGACGCAGUGGCGAUGGGAUCGGUGCCUUCCGUGACGCCGGCCACGGCGGCCUCCCUGGCUGCGGUGUCCGCGGCCGCGGUGGG
rnacentral:lncRNA from 1 species